GGUACCAUAGCCAAGUGGUAAGGCAUGGGCCUGCAAAGCACUGACCCCCGGUUCAAAUCCGGGUGGUACCUCCA
rnacentral:tRNA from 1 species